UCUUUGCUAGAUGUGAGCACAUCACUGUUCCCCAUAGAAAGCUUCUCUUGAGAAUAUGUACAGCAGGAAACAGGUACAGACAGAUGGACAUACAGGUGCUCUUGAAUAGCCUACACACAUAGGAUGACCACAUCUUUUGUUUUCUGGUCGUGGAGAAUGA